rnacentral:misc_RNA from 1 species
GAUGAAGAACGUAGCAAAAUGCGAUACUUGGUGUGAAUUGCAGAAUCCCGUGAACCAUCGAGUUUUUGAACGCAAGUUGCGCCCGAAGCCUUUUGGCCGAGGGCACGUCUGCCUGGGCGUCACGCAUCGCGUCGCCCCCCACAAUUCUGCGUAAAGGGAACGUGUGUUUUGGGGGCGGAUAUUGGUCUCCCGUGCUCAUGGCGUGGUUGGCCGAAAUAGGAGUCCUUUCGAUGGACGCACGAACUAGUGGUGGUCGUAAAAACCCUCGUCUUUUGUUUCGUGCUGUUGCUCGCAAGGUAAACUCUUUAAAAACCCCAAUGUGUCGUCUCUUGACGACGCUUCGACCGCGACCCCAGGUCAGGCGGGACUACCCGCUGAGUUUAAGCAUAUCAAUAAGCGGAGGA